ensembl:lncRNA
UAAUUAAUAGAUGAGGAGGAGAAAAAAGAACUACAACCAGACAAAGCUCCUAGAAGACUGAAAUGGAUGAUGGUUGCAGCAUGCAAAAAGAAAAUGAUAUCUGUUGACUACAGCAUAUGCUUUCUCACAGAUUACCUUGUGGGAGUAGCUGGACCAAACUCUAUUGGUAUUUCAAGUUUGAAAUCCCUGUUUGACCAGACUAACAUUUCAGAUGAGGUAAUAGAUGGCCUAAUCUAUUUGCAGUGUGAGAAUUUCCCUCACAUUUAUCCAAUACCAAGCCAAAUCACUGGAAAAAUUUUGGAUGGGUCCACAAGAGCACAAAGUGCAUACUUUUUGAAGAAAAACAUCUUUCAGAUGUAUGAGAAAUUGAUUGGAGCCUGUCUGGAAAACGGCAGCCACUGGACCUUGUUUUUUUGUGACAUACCCAAGAGGACCAUAGUCUAUAUGAAUUCAUUUAGCGAGUCGGAGGUCAGAAAAAGUGCGGUGUUGAAAAACUGGAGGUAAUUAAUUAACAUAUUUAACAUAACAUAUUUAAUUUAAUUGAAAUCAUUACCGAACGUGGUUAUUGAUUUCUCUAUAUGCUUUUUAUUUGUAAUAACUGCGAUCUCUCAGCUCAUUUGCUUCAGCAAGAGGCUGCGCUGGAGAGUGGACCUUGUCACAUGUGAGCCACCCACAUCAACAGGAUGGGAACUCAUGUGGAGUGCAUGUCAUAAUGUUUGCCCAAUCUCUCAUUGACGGUAAAACACAAGUGGAGGAGUACAACACUGAAAUCACAAAGCUCAGGUCCCGACUUUGCCACUACUUAUUUUCCUCAAUAGAUCGAACUAGGAAGUGCAGUCAGUGCUGGUGUGUGAUUGCAGCCAAAGACCGGGUGCAGUGCCAGAAAUGUGGUGCAUACAAGCACAUGCGUUGUUCAAAGUCUGUUUGUGGCAUCUGUGUCUUCUGUGAGAGUAAGUCACAAUAUAACUAAACAAUGUCCAAAAAUGUUUAAAGUGAAAUUUUUUUUCGUAAUUUUGCCUUUGCACACCAGGACUGUGUAAUUAAAGUGGACGUUUCAAGAUCCAGUUUUUACACAAAACUAUUUUAGACAUAACUGUGUCGUAUUGUGGGGAUUUCUCUUCACAAUUAAAUUGAUAUAGUGCUGUUUAUAUCAUUCUUCUUUAUGUAACAGCACAGUGCAGCACAGCAGAGGGAAAGGAGUUGUGCAGCAUAGUAGGUGACUAUACAGGAGGAGCAAUAGAAGUAGCCAGUGAAGAAUGUCAUCAGGGAAAGCAUCAGGCAGCGAAUGACAAAGGAAAAGUUCCUAAGGGAGAGAACAUCUGCAGCAAAUCGACAAGUAACAGUGAGAUAGGAAGACUGACAGUCAGAGAUGAAGGUACACAGACUGAAGACAACGAAAAAGAAGCAGAAGUAUACGGCACAAGUCUGAGUACAGAUAAUGCUGCUGCUGAUGAUGUUGACAGGAUCGAUGCAGAUACAGAAUUCCAAACUGAUUCAGAAGGAACUAGUACAGUUUACAGAGUGCAUGGUCGCUUAUCUGUACCAAGCUCAAAAAAGAAAACCUACACAAUAACAGAAGACGAGAUCAAGCGCAGAAUCAACGCAGAGAACAUGUCAGUUCAUGUUUUCAGAGGUUUGAUUGGGGUAGGUAUACAUUUCGUGAUUUUGAUGUCACCUGAAAUAAAUCCGGGUUACUCGUAUCAAUGAAGUGACAAUGUGGCUGGAAAUUGUGCAUUUGCUGCAACAUAUACACAAUUACACCAUGUAAACAAAAGCAUUUAACUUUGUGCGCGCGUGUGUGUGUCUCUCUCUGCUCUUUUGGUGUUUGCACUUUUUCUUUUUUAGGGCCGUAAAGCCAAACUGCCCGCAAUGAUUCUUGACAGGCCUAAGAAGGCCAAAACUAAAGUAACAGUGUUUAGUGUUCUGAGUGAAGAGGAGGCUGGGGAGCUAGCCCUCGGGUUUGCCGGAAGAUUGGCCUGCGAUGUCACAACAGACAUGGUCUGUAAAGGCAUCGACCAUUCAAGUGCUGAUAUGACAAAACAGACUCUUCUCAAAAUCCAACACAACCUUAAACAUGAGCUGACUGAUUCCUCAACCUUCAGUUUGCUGACACACACCUUUGGCCCCGCUGCACUGGAUUCUGUCAUUUCAUUCCUGUGUGAAAAACUUGAUCUUGUCUCUUAAAUAAUGAAACCUUUUGUGACUUUUGUUUGUUCUGUAAAUCAGAAUCUUGAAAAUUGUUCAUUGUUGUUCUAAGUUUGUGUUAACUAUUUGGCAAAAAUGAUUGGUUCCUAAUCCAAACAGCAUAAUGACUGUUCUAACACAUAUCUUAAAAAUGCUAC